rnacentral:rRNA from 1 species
GACGGAGGGUGCUAGCGUUGUUCGGAAUCACUGGGCGUAAAGGGCGCGUAGGCGGCAUCAGGUGUCGGAUGUGAAAGCCCGGGGCUCAACCCCGGAGGUGCAUCCGAAACUCUGGCGCUGGAGGUCGGAAGAGGAGGGUGGAAUACCCAGUGUAGAGGUGAAAUUCGUAGAUAUUGGGUGGAACACCGGUGGCGAAAGCGGCUCUCUGGUCCGAACCUGACGCUGAGGCGCGAAAGCGUGGGGAGCAAACAGG